rnacentral:ncRNA from 2 species
UAAAUACCUACAAUGUUUGGUACCCCUGCGGGGGUUUAAAAGGGAAUCGGGUGUAAAUCCCGAGCGGUCCGGCCACUGUAACAGGCUAGUUUGUUUCAAGUUUACGCCACUGGUUAUUCCGGGAAGGUAGCACCAAAUGCUAAUGCCUGAGUCAGGAGACCUGCCAAACAAAAAACUGACCC